rnacentral:rRNA from 1 species
AACGCUAGCGGCAGGCUUAACACAUGGCAAGUCGAGGGGCAGCGCGUUGUAGCAAUACGAUGGCGGCGACCGGCGCAAGGGUGCGUAACGCGUGAGCAAUCUGCCCGUAGUCAGGGGGAUAAGCGAUGGAAACGUCGUCUAAUACCGCAUAACAGCGAGGGAGGCAUCUCCUUUGUUUGAAAGCUUCGGUGGAUACGGAUGAGCUCGCGAGACAUUAGUUAGUUGGCGGGUAACGGCCCACCAAGACCACGAUGUCUAGGGGAACUGAGAGGUUGGUCCCCCACACUGGAACUGAGACACGGUCCAGACUCCUACGGGAGGCAGCAGUGAGGAAUAUUGGACAAUGGUCGGAAGACUGAUCCAGCCAUGCCGCGUGAAGGAUUAAGGUCCUAUGGAUUGUAAACUUCUUUUGAGUGGGAGCAAUAAGGUGUACGCGUACACCGAUGAGAGUACCAUUCGAAUAAGCAUCGGCUAACUCCGUGCC